rnacentral:lncRNA from 1 species
GCAGUUCUUGGUGCCACGACUGGGAGACAGUCCUCAGGCCCUCCCCUCAGGGAGCUCACUGUCCGGGGAGGGACAGCCAGCAAUAGUUCCUGGCCGGCCAGGAGAGGCAGAGGCAGAGGAAGGGAAGGGUCAGCUGCCUUGAGGUCCCUGCCUGCUAACCUGACGGAGCCAGCGCCGGCAGCCACCAUGGCGUCACGCAUAGGGUUGCGCAUGCAGCUCA